rnacentral:piRNA from 1 species
ACUUCUGUAAAUCUUAUGUUUUAG